GAUGAACGCUGGCGGCGUGCUUAACACAUGCAAGUCGAACGGUGAAAGCGGAGCUUGCUCUGCUGGAUCAGUGGCGAACGGGUGAGUAACACGUGAGCAAUCUGCCCCUGACUCUGGGAUAAGCGAUGGAAACGGCGUCUAAUACCGGCUACGAGCUACGAAGGCAUCUUCAGCAGCCGGAAAGAACCUCGGUCAGGGAUGAGCUCACGGCCUAUCAGCUAGUUGGUGAGGUAACGGCUCCCCAAGGCGUGGACGGGUAGCCGGCCUGAGCGGGUGACCGGCGACACUAGGACUGAGGCACGGCCCAGACUCCUAGGGGAGGCAGCAGUGGGGAAUAUUGCACAAUGGGCGAAAGCCUGAUGCAGCAACGCCGCGUGAGGGACGACCGCCUUCGGGUUAUAAACCUCUUUAAGCAGGGAAGAAGCGAGAGUGACGGUACCUGCAGAAAAAGCGCCGGCUAACUACGUGCCAGCAGCCGCCGUAA
rnacentral:rRNA from 1 species